UUUGCCGCAGUGUUAUGAGGAGAAGCAGGACCUUUAAACUUUCCAGCCAGUUCAGCCACAGAUCGGCGCGAUGGAGCCUCCUCCUGACAAAACAGCUCUGUCUCAGAACUGGACCAGCCCUGGAUCACUGAAGUCUCAACUGUCUCAUCAGGAUCUGGAGCUGAGAUGUCCUCCAGAGGUGGACCAGAGCAACUACAACUCCCAUGAGGCUUUGAGAUAUGACAGACACGCCCACCUCAGCUCUGUGCUGCCUCCUGCUGGUUACAACUGUUAAAGCCUCUGGUAGAUUUCCUGAGCAGCUAACAGGGCUUCUCCUGACUGCCGGCUGAAGCCCCGCCCCCCUGGCACUCCCUGACGAGCUGGAGGAGGCGGAGGAGAAGGCGAACGGGCUGUCGACGGCAGCGUCUGAUGUGACACAG